CUGAACAUAGUAUGUUUUAUUUAAAAAGUAUUUAAGAUAGAAAGGUCCUGGAUUCUGCAUUUCUUAUCUCCCUUCCGUUGACUUCCAUUGCUGUUUCACUGACUUCAAGGAAAAGUCUGGGGUCCUGCUGACUUCAGUGGACGUUUGGGAUGAGUGAGGAAAGCAGAAUCAGUAACCAAAUUCAAGGCAGCAACAGGUCUGAAAUCUUGUCUCCGUUUUGACUGCCAUAUGAGCAAUAGUAGAUCCAGCCACAAUUAUGGAAAAUCUUCAGCAACAAAUUAUUAGGAUUUUGCUGGUGACCUGUUGGGAAAAUCUUGCAGGAUAAAGACUUAGCUCUGUGAAAUAUAAAUAAAAAUGGCCAUGGACCUACCUAAGCAAAGUGGAAGAUGUUGCUCUCCAACACUGCACUUCCUCUGUGAAUAUCAGACACAAAGUUAUGAGUGUGACAGAAUAUAUGGAAAAAUUUAGACGAUGUUGUACAGUUGAUCAGUCAUCAGACUCAAAAUACUCUUCAUCUAGUCUACCAACAUUACCAAUAAUAUAUUGUGUUGUUUCCAAGCCUAGGAAGAAGACACCUAGGCCAGCUCUACACUAGAAAAAGCUUGCUGAUAUAGCUAUACUGGCAUAGCUAAAUUGGCAAACUCUCUUUGGCCUGGUCUACACUAUGAGUUUAGUUCGAAUUUAGCAGCGUUAAAUCGAAUUAACUCUGCACCCGUCCACACAACGAAGCCAUUUAUUUUGAAAUAAAGGGCUCUUAAAAUCGAUUUCUGUACUCCUCCCCGAUGAGGUGGAGGAGAACAGAAGUGCACCAUUGUGACAGCUCUGGACAGCAAUCUGAACUCAGAUGCAAUGGCCAGGUACACAGGAAAAGCCCCGCGAACUUUUGAAUUACAUUUCCUGUUUGCCCAGCGUGGAGAGCACAGGUGACCAUGCAGAGCUCAUCAGCACAGGUAACCAUGCAGUCCGAGAAUUGAAAAAGAGCACCAGCAUGGACCGUACAGGAGGUACUGGAUCUGAUCGCUAUAUGGGGAGAGGAUUCCGUGCUAGCAGAACUACGUUCCAAAAGACAAAAUGCCAAAACUUUUGAAAAAAUCUCCAAGGGCAUGAUGGAGAGAGGCCACAAUAGGGACUCAUAUCAGUGCCGCGUGAAAGUUAAGGAGCUCAGACAAGCCUAUCAAAAAACAAAGGAGGCAAACGGUCGCUCCAGGUCAGAACUGCAGACAUGCCGCUUCUAUGCUGAGCUGCAUGCAAUUCUAGGGGGGGCCACUACCACUACCCCACCUCUGACCAUGGAUUCCGAGCAGGGGGUAAUCUCAGCCAUGCCUGAGGAUUCUGCGGACGGGGAAGAUGAGGAGGAGGAGGAGGACGACGAGCUUGCGGAGAGCACACAGCACUCCGUUCUCCCCAACAGCCAGGAUCUUUUUCUCAGCCUGACUGAAGUACCCUCCCAACCCCCAGACAAUGAGGCCAUGGAAGGGACCUCUGCUGCAAAUUUUUCAAGCCUCUCUCCUCUGUCCCGAAGGCUAUCUCAGAUAAGGCGGUGAAAAAAAAGGAUGCGAGACGAAAUGUUCUCUGAAAUCAUGGAAUCCACCCGCAAUGAAAGAGCUCAUCUGAAUGAGUGGAAGGACACGAUAUCAAAGUACAGGAAAGAUGCCAGUGAACGUGAGGCCAUGAGGGACGCUCAAGAUGAGAGGUGGCAGACUGCAACGCUGGGGCUGCUGCAUGAUCAAACAGACAUGCUCCAGCGUCUGGUGGAGCUUCAGGAAUGGCAGCAGGAUCACAGAGAGCCACUGCAGCUGCUGUAUAACCUCCCUCCCCCCUCACCAUGUUCCAUAGCCUCCUCACCCAGACGUGUAAGAACACGGUGGGGGGAGGGAGGCUCUGUACACCCUUCCACUCCACCCCAGUGGACGCCCAAGCAAAAGGCUGUCAUUACUUUGAACUUUUUUAGUGGCCUUUUCCUUCCCUCCUAUCCUCCUCCCAAACCCCACCCGGGCUACCUUGUCAGUUCUCUCCCUAUG